UGCCAGCAGCCGCGGUAACACGUAGGGGGCGAGCGUUGUCCGGAUUUAUUGGGCGUAAAGAGCUCGUAGGCCGCUUGGUAAGUCGGGUGUGAAAUUUCGAGGCUCAACCUCGAAACGCCAUCCGAUACUGCUAUGGCUAGAGUCCGGUAGAGGAGCGUGGAAUUCCUGGUGUAGCGGUGAAAUGCGCAGAUAUCAGGAGGAACACCAACGGCGAAGGCAGCGCUCUGGGCCGGUACUGACGCUGAGGAGCGAAAGCGUGGGGAGCAAACAGGAUUAGAUA
rnacentral:rRNA from 1 species